rnacentral:rRNA from 1 species
UUGAACGCUGGCGGCAUGCCUUACACAUGCAAGUCGAACGGCAGCACGGGAGCAAUCCUGGGUGGCGAGUGGCGAACGGGUGAGUAAUAUAUCGGAACGUGCCCAGUCGUGGGGGAUAACGUAGCGAAAGCUACGCUAAUACCGCAUACGAUCUAUGGAUGAAAGCGGGGGAUCGCAAGACCUCGCGCGAUUGGAGCGGCCGAUAUCAGAUUAGGUAGUUGGUGAGGUAAAGGCUCACCAAGCCGACGAUCUGUAGCUGGUCUGAGAGGACGACCAGCCACACUGGGACUGAGACACGGCCCAGACUCCUACGGGAGGCAGCAGUGGGAAUUUUGGACAAUGGGCGCAAGCCUGAUCCAGCAAUGCCGCGUGCAGGAUGAAGGCCUUCGGGUUGUAAACUGCUUUUGUACGGAACGAAACGGUGAGCUCUAAUACAGUUUGCUAAUGACGGUACCGUAAGAAUAAGCACCGGCUAACUACGUG